CCUACGGGAGGCAGCAGUAAGGAAUAUUGGUCAAUGGAGGCAACUCUGAACCAGCCAUGCCGCGUGCAGGAAGAAGGCCCUAUGGGUCGUAAACUGCUUUUGUACCAGAGAAAACCCGAGUACGUGUACUCGGUUGAUAGUAUGGUAAGAAUAAGCAUCGGCUAACUUCGUGCCAGCAGCCGCGGUAAGACGAAGGAUGCAAGCGUUAUCCGGAUUCAUUGGGUUUAAAGGGUGCGUAGGCGGACUGAUAAGUCAGUGGUGAAAUCUCUCGGCUUAACCGAGAAACUGCCAUUGAUACUGUUAGUCUAGAGUAUAGAUGACGUUGGCGGAAUAUGACAUGUAGUGGUGAAAUACUUAGAUAUGUCAUAGAACACCGAUUGCGAAGGCAGCUAACGAAACUAUAACUGACGCUGAGGCACGAAAGUGCGGGGAUCAAACAGGAUUAGAUACCCUGGUAGUCCGCACCGUAAACGAUGAUUACUCGUUGUUGGCAAUAUGACCGUCAGCGACCAAGCGAAAGCGAUAAGUAAUCCACCUGGGGAGUACGCCGGCACGGUGAAACGUCAAAGGAAUUGACGGCGNGAGAGNGCGACGGACGACGACGAGGGAGGAGG
rnacentral:rRNA from 1 species